rnacentral:rRNA from 1 species
CAUUAAGCGGAGGAAAAGAAACUAACUAGGAUUCCUUUAGUAGCGGCGAGCGAACAAGGAAAAGCUCAGCACUGAAUCCCGCAAUCGGCAACGGUUGCCGGGAAAUGUAGUGUUAGGGAGAGUCCGUUUAUCUCAGUGUUGUGCGACGCGUCCAAGUCCUUCUUGAACGGGGCCAUAACCCAUAGAGGGUGCCAGGCCCGUAGCGACCGUCGCCGGCUUUGAGAGGGCUUCUCCUCAGAGUCGGAUUGCUUGAGAGUGCAGUCCUAAGUGGGUGGUAAACUCCAUCUAAAGCUAAAUAUGACCACGAGACCGAUAGCGAACAAGUACCGUGAGGGAAAGUUGAAAAGCACUUUGAAGAGAGAGUUAAAUAGUACGUGAAACCGUUUAGGGGUAAACCUGUGCAACCCGAAAGAUUGACCGAGGAAGUUCAUCGUGUUUUGAUGCGCAAGCAAUAGUUGUACGACGCAAGCAAAUUUUUGCGUGCGCGUCAGCUUCAUUGUCACUGCGUAUUGAACGCGUGCACUCUUCCUUCAGUAAAACGUCGCGAUCCGUUGAGUAUUGGCUUACGGCGUGCGGUGGAGCCCGUAUUGUGUGUAUGUCAAAGUACACUACGAUGCGGACCCGUAAUGUUUCCUAGCCAAUUUGCUCGACGGUAGUUGUUAUACAGCGUAGAGCCGCACAUAAAGUGCGUUCGACCCGUCGCAAGCACGUUCGUUUCGAUAAGCUGAUGCAACGGACACAAAGUGCCGUUCUCGGCCGCGAACGACUGUUGGCGUGCGGUGUUCUCGAACAGACUCUUACACGCUUAUCAGCGGCGCUAUAGCUUUGGGUACGUACAGGACCCGUCUUGAAACACGGACCAAGGAGUCUAGCAUGUGCGCAAGUCAUUGGGCAAAAUGAAACCCAAAGGCGUAAUGAAAGUAAAAUUUAACUUUAACGUUAAACAAAGGAAGAUGAGUGUGUAUUGCAAAAGCAUACUUCGCAUUCCCGGGGCGUCUCAUGCUAUCUCGCGUCGCUUGCGGCGCGUGAGCAGAGGCGCACCAAGAGCGUACACGCUGGGACCCGAAAGAUGGUGAACUAUGCUUGGUCAGGACGAAGUCAGGGGAAACCCUGAUGGAGGUCCGUAGCGAUUCUGACGUGCAAAUCGAUCGUCGGAACUGAGUAUAGGGGCGAAAGACUAAUCGAACUAUCUAGUAGCUGGUUCCCUCCGAAGUUUCCCUCAGGAUAGCUGGCGCUCAUGCGUACAAGUUUCAUCCGGUAAAGCGAAUGAUUAGAGGCAUUGGGGCCGAAACGGCUUCAACCUAUUCUCAAACUUUAAAUGGGUGAGAUCGCCGGCUUGCUUAAAUGCAUGAAGCCGCGCGUGAUUAAAAUAUGAAUUAGAGUGCCAAGUGGGCCAUUUUUGGUAAGCAGAACUGGCGCUGUGGGAUGAACCAAACGCCGAGUUAAAGCACCUAAAUCGACGCUUAUGGGAUACCAUGAAAGGCGUUGGUAGCUUAGGACAGCAGGACGGUGGUCAUGGAAGUCGAAAUCCGCCAAGGAGUGUGUAACAACUCACCUGCCGAAGCUACUAGCCCUGAAAAUGGACGGUGCUGAAGCGUCGUGCUUAUACUCGGCCGCCAGCGGCAUGUGCGUGUGCGCUGAUUUUUUGAUCAUCGUGCACAUGAAGCCCUGGUGAGUAGGAGGGUCGCGACGGUGUGCGCAGAAGGAUUGGCCGUG